rnacentral:rRNA from 1 species
AUGGCGGAGCUGCCGCUCGCGGGGGGCUUGCUGGACCUGCGCCCCGGCAAGCUCUCCCCGAAGCCCCCGCCCCCGCCGCUGCCCAUGCCCUGCCGCCGGACCCCGCCGCGCUCCCAGGUCGCCGCGGCCGUGGCAUCGCCGUGCCGCGCCGUCCCCGAGCUCCACUCCACCACCGAGCUGGCGGACGGGAGCGUCGUGUUCCACUUCGCGCACCCGCCUGUCAAAGACCGCCCGGAGCCCACGGCGUCCGGUCCCGGCGCGGAUGCCCCGGCCUCGCCGCGGCCGGAGCUGCGCGUCGAGGAGCCGAAUCCACACACGGUGGCUGACGCCGGUGAGAUUUCGCUGGCCUCGUCGGAGGAGCCUGAACAGGCCGUCGGCUCCGGCGUCGGUGUUGAAGCGGAGGCCGGGUUCGCUAGUGGAAGGACGGUCCCUCCGGCCGAUUGCCAGCUCGAUACUGACGGCAAUGGAGUUGAGCUUGGUGCCUUGGAGGAGGGUGAGACUGUAGAGGCGGGCAUGACGGGGCCUGCUGGUUUGGAGGAUGCAGAUGCGGAUGGGGGGGCUUCGUCGGAAGGCUCUGACACUGGCGUGGAUGCAGAGUCUAGAGGCGACGACCAAGGGGCCACGGAAUCCGGAGUUACCAUCCCACCAGCAACGGGAGAAGUUCGCAACAAGGUGAAUCGGGAAAAGAACACUUCAGAAGUGAAGAGUUCUGAUAGGACGGUUCCAGUAGCCUCGUCAACGCUUUUGUUGACUUCGGGUGCUGCAAUCUUGCCUCAUCCUUCAAAGGCAGCGACAGGCGGAGAAGAUGCUUAUUUUAUUGAACACAAUGGUUGGUUUGGUGUGGCAGAUGGAGUUGGUCAGUGGUCAUUUGAAGGAAUCAACGCAGGGCUUUAUGCAAGAGAGCUAAUGGAUGGCUGUAAAAAAGUAAUUGCGGAAAGUGAAGGAGGCUCUGAGCUUUCACCCGAGCAAGUUCUCUCCAAGGCUGCAGCAGAAGCAAGGUCUCCUGGUUCUUCGACUGUCUUAGUUGCUCACUUUGAUGGCCAGCUCCUUCAUGUAUCAAAUAUCGGAGACUCGGGGUUUCUGGUGAUAAGGAAUGGAGAAGUACACGCAAAAUCAAAACCAAUGGUUUAUGGCUUCAAUUUUCCACAUCAAAUUGAGAAAGGGGUUGAUCCCUUAACCCUUGUAGAGAAUUAUACCAUUGACAUAGAGGAAGGCGAUGUCAUUAUAGCAGCGACCGAUGGCCUUUUCGACAACGUCUACGAGCAAGAAGCGGCAGCCAUGAUCUCGAAAUCUUUGCAGGCAGAUCUAAAACCAGCGGAGAUGGCCGAGCACCUUGCUGCCAGGGCACAUGAGGUAGGGAGGUCUGGAGCAGGGAGAAGCCCAUUUUCAGACUCUGCCGUCGCAGCGGGUUACCUAGGUUUCAGCGGGGGGAAACUGGACGACACAGCCGUCGUUGUGUCGAUCGUCAGGAGAUCUGAAGCUUAA